GCAAUUGAACGAAACGCUUGCAUGACGAUUGAGAUAAAACAAUUCGGUUUCAUUUAAUAUUUUCACAACGAUACGCGAAACAAUUCGUUCCCCGUGAAAAUUUAAAACGGACACCAAACAAUUUUGGCGAUUUUAGAAUGGCAGCAGUUUUUUGUUCGUUUAUUUAAAUUUCUGUCUGGCUUUUGCUGAUUGGCAUAAAACUUUACCCCAAUGGAAGUGCACUCGACAUUUGACUUUUGAAAUGACCGCAGCAGCCCACGGCGGAAUGGAAAUGUGGAUAACUUGCAAGAGUGCGCACUACCAAAAUUUGCCACAUUGACACAAUGAGGCCAAAACUGAAGCAGGGAUAAGGACAACACAGUACAGCGAACCAGGCUACCAGCUCUUUUUCAACAAUUGCAUUUUUAAUGGCUUUGAAUGAGAGAAAAGUUGCUUUUCCACUCACUAAAACUAAUUUACCAUUCCGCCAAUCAGGGAAGAACUUCCCUGGAGCAACUAUCGAUUGCGUUUUCCACCUAAUGUACGAGUAUACCUGCUUUAAGAGUUUGCGGAUUUGAGUGUAGUUUCCGUACGGUUCAGCAGCUCCAAUUUUGUCGAUAUAUUCAUUUGGACUCUUUGCCAUUUGGAUCGAUAUAUGACAAAAUAUGUUUAUCCCCGUCACCAGGGUGAAAUGUGUACAGAGACUCCUGUAAGAUCUCCUCUUUUCAGCUUUUCCGAGUUCCUGAUAUCUCAAUACCAAGACGUACAUAGCUAGAUCGACUCGGCUAGUGAUCCUGAUCAAGAAUAAUGACUUGAAUUGGCAAGAAAAUAGAUAAGCAAGGGGAACAUUAAGCAAAAAGAAACCGUAUGGCUUCGCGUUCUCCAAGACCAUUUCCCAUUUCGAACUCGUUUUUCUGCACAAGGCUUGCUCUUUGCCGACAUAACUUAAUGACGUCGUUUUAUGUUUCACUUUGGCAGCGAUGGCAAUAAAUUACCUGUGUCUUGACUCUUA